AUGCACCGCCUCUCCUCUCCUCUGCGGUCGCUCCUCUCUUUGACGGCCUCUACUCCGCCUAGCUGGUGGCCGCUGCGACGAGUUUUGCCUCAUAAUUCAGCUGCCCGUCGUGUUUGCAGAUUUCCUCAUGGAUCUCGUAGCAUGGCCAGCAGCAGUGGAGUAAAAGGCUGGGAUGAACAGAUGGCUGGUUACCCUUUUGACGGUGUAGUUCCUAUGGCUAUAUUUCCUAAAAGCAGCCAUCAUGAUGGUUCUAUAUACAAGGGCAGGCAUGCAUGGAAAAAGGAAUAUCGCAUUGCAGACCGUAACGAGACUUGGUUGGAGCCGAUGAUGUUAACAGAUCCCUCAGAUUGCUGCAUUCUCGAUGGAGCUUGCAUGCAGCAUACACCUAGUGGCAUGUUCCAAAUUUUCUCAUUGAAGCUGGCUAAAAUUCAUGUGGGUUGUGGGCCAGUAGAGUUGUACGGAUACAUUGCAAUGCGGGAUGAUCUGGAUCGAUUGCUUAACUAUGUGGUCAGUUUUAAAAGGGAUGAUCCCAUCAUCGUGGAGCAGGGUUCUCUCAUCAACAUGUCUGGCCCUAAGCGAGGGAUAGAUUCACAUGGAAAUAUUUUAAUCGAAUAUGACAUGAGGAUCAAGACUGCAGAAGAAGAAAAACAUGACCUACAACUGAUUGAUGGUGCAUCAAUAAUAGUCAGCAAAGACUUGCAGAACUGUCACACAUUCACCAGUCGCAUCUAUGGCGAUUGUGGAGCAGUGGACUUCACCGCAUCACGCCUUGAAAAUGCAGUUGAGGCGACUCUAGAAGUUGUCAUCUCAGAAGUGCAAAACAGUUUCAAUUUGUGUCUCAGCUGUUUUACCAGUGGGUUGAAUGAAGAAAUCCGGCUCUUCAAUGGCACCAUUGGUGAGUCAUGUGGCUUAAAGAGGUCUGUGGUUGCUGUAGUUAUAGCUUCUUGGAUGACGUUGAAGUUCAAGUUGGGUGCGGAGUCAUCCAGUUCUGCUGAACAUCAUUGUUCCUUCAUAGCCAACAACCAUGGGAUUUUUACUCAAAAGAUGAAGACUGACUUUGCGCUACUCUCAGUGAAGGUGACUUGGUCGACUUUGCCUCGGGGGUCUCAUGCUCAUUCUAGUUCAUCCCAACCUUAA
rnacentral:rRNA from 1 species